GACGGGACAAAGGAUCAGAGAAUAUCACAGAAAGGAAAAUAAGGCUAAGGAAGAGGAGGCUCUUACAAAAGAGGUGAAACAGUUGAAAGUCCAAAACCAGGAACUGACAACCUUGAACAUGUCUUUGCAGAGAGCUGUGCCCCAGCCUCUUUGGUCACUGCCCAACUACCAGCCCCUCAGAACACUGUCCAACCACCAGCCCCAAAGGGGUACUCUGGAGAUCUUCUCAUGUGUGAGGAGGAUGGCCGCUGGGUGCAGAUCCAGCACCCUUGUGAGUAAACCCUGGUCUCACUGACUGGCUCGUCCAGACCAGACGGCUCCCCUGGCACUGGGAUUACAGGCUUCAGGGAAGCAGAACAUUCAGUCCUGAAUUAGGAUAUUUUGCAGUCUUGAUUACUAAAUCAAUCAAUGAUUUUGAAUAAGGUUGUGGCUAAAGCACACAUUUAGGGACUGUGCCUGAAAUACAAAUUAGACUUCCCAUGGCUUUGUAAAAUUAUGACACAGAAGGCAGUAUGUUGCAUAUUAUGUUUUGAAGAUAAUGUUGGCGAUAAUUUGGCUGUUUCACACUCACCACAAUGGCUUUUGAAUUAUCUGUCGUUCUGCCCCUGAACGAGACAGUUAACCCACUGUUCCUAGGCCGUCAUUGAAAAUCAGAAUGUGUUCUUAACUGACUUGCCGAGUUAAAUAAAGAUGAAAUAAAAGCAGCAGCUCUAGCCUUUAGCUCACACCAACUAUCACAUCAGAUUAGGGCUGGGCGAUAUCUCAUUUUUGUGCGAUAUACCAAAUGGAUAUAUCGCAAGAAUCGAGUUUUUUUUCAUGAAUUUUUUUACGAGGGUUUACGUUGUAACGUUGGCAAAUGUUGCAUCUCACGCUCUGGCAGCCCAUAAAUCAAAUACAAUCCAAUUGUAUUUGUCACAUACACAUGGUUAGCAGAUGUUAAUGCGAGUGUAGCGAAAUACUUGUGCUUCUAGUUCCGACAGUGCAGUAAUAUCUAACAAGUAAUCUAACAAUUCCCCAAGAACUACCUAAUACACACAAAUCUAAAGAGGUGAAUGAGAAUGUGUUCAUGUAAGUAUAUGGAUGAGCGAUGGCCGAACGGCAUAGGCAAGGUGCAAUAGAUGGUAUAAAAUACAGUACACACAGACGUGAUAUGAGUAAUGUAAGAUAUGUAAACAUUAUUAAAGUGGCAUUAUUUAGAGUGCAUUGUAUGACUAGUGAUCGGGUCUCAAUGUAGGCAGCAGCCUCUCUGAAUUAGUGAUUGCUGUUUAGCAGUCUGAUGGCCUUGAGAUAGAAGCUGUUUUUCAGUCUCUUGGUCCCAGCUUUGAUGCACCUGUACUGACCUCGCCUUCUGGAUGGUAGCAAGGUGAACAGGCAGUGGCUUGGGUGGUUGUUGUCCUUGAUGAUCUUUUUGGACUUCCUGUGAUAUCGUGUGCUGUAGGUGUCCUGAAGGGUAGGUAGUUUGCCCCCGGUGAUGCGUUGUGCAGACCACACCACCCUCUGGAGAGCCUUGCCGUUGUGGGCGGUGCAGUUGCCGUACCAGGCGGUGAUACAACCCGACAGGAUGCUCUCAAUUGUACAUCUGUAAAAGUUUGUGAGGGUUUUAGGUGACAAGCCAAAUUUAUUCAGCCUCCUGAGGUUGAAGAGGCGCUGUUGCGCCUUUUUCACCACACUGUCUGUGUGGGUGGACCAUUUCAGUUUGUCCGUGAUGUGUAUGCCGAGGAACUUUUCACCUUCUCCACUGCUGUCCCGUUGAUGUGGAUAUGAGGGUGCUCACUCUGCUGUUUCCUGAAGUAAUCUCCUUUGUUUUGCUGAUGUUGAGUGAGAGGUUGUUUCCUGACCCCACACUCUGAGUGCCCUCACCUCCUCCCUGUAGGCUGUCUCUGCAUUAUUGGUAAUAAAGCCUACUACUGUUGUGUCGUCUGCAAACUUGAUGACUGAGUUGGAGGCGUGCAUGGCCACGUAGUCAUGGGUGAACAGGGAGUACAGGAGGGGGCUGAGCACACACCAUUGUGGGGCCCCAGUGUUGAGGGACAGUGAAGUGGAGAUGUUGUUUCCUACCUUCACAACCUGGGGGUGGCCCGUCAGGAAGUCCAGGACCCAGUUGCACAGGGCGGGGUUGAGACCCAGGGCCUCAAGCUUAAUGAGGAGCUUGGAGGGUACUAUGGUGUUGAGUGCUGAACUAUAGUCAAUGAACAGCAUUUUUUUUAUUUCACCUUUAUUUUAACCAGGUAGGCCAGAUGAGAACACGUUCUCAUUUACAUCUGCGACCUGGCCAAGAUAAAGCAAAGCAGUGUGACAAAAACAACAACACAGAUUACACAUAAACAAACGUAGAGUCAAUAACACAAUAGAAAAAUAUAUGUACAGUGUGUGCAAAUGUAGAAGAGUAUGGAGUUAAGGCAAUAAAUAGGCCAGAGAGCAUUAACUCUUUCACUCAAACCCAGCCCUUUUCUUUUGUGUCACAGGCUGUCAUAUCUGUUCCGCCCGUUAGGGACGUUUUCCUUUAUGACGUCAUUUGUAAUCAAGUUAUUAUUAAAUAUGUGUAUGUGUAAUUCUGUGUGAUCAGUUAGGUAUUUAGUAAAUAAAUAAUUAAAACCAAUUUUGUAUUGCUGAUUCAACUUGUUAGCCAGGGUUUGUGAA